rnacentral:rRNA from 1 species
GGGUGCGAUCAUACCAGUACUAAUGCACCGGAUCCCAUUAGAACUCCGUUGUUAAGUGUGCUUUGGGCGAGAGUAGUACUAGGAUGGGUGACCUCUUGGGAAGUCCUCGUGUUGCACCCC